rnacentral:rRNA from 1 species
AUUGAACGCUGGCGGCAGGCCUAACACAUGCAAGUCGAGCGGAUGAAGGGAGCUUGCUCCUGGAUUCAGCGGCGGACGGGUGAGUAAUGCCUAGGAAUCUGCCUGGUAGUGGGGGAUAACGUCCGGAAACGGGCGCUAAUACCGCAUACGUCCUGAGGGAGAAAGUGGGGGAUCUUCGGACCUCACGCUAUCAGAUGAGCCUAGGUCGGAUUAGCUAGUUGGUGGGGUAAAGGUCUACCAAGGCGACGAUCCGUAACUGGUCUGAGAGGAUGAUCAGUCACACUGGAACUGAGACACGGUCCAGACUCCUACGGGAGGCAGCAGUGGGGAAUAUUGGACAAUGGGCGAAAGCCUGAUCCAGCCAUGCCGCGUGUGUGAAGAAAGUCUUCGGAUUGUAAAGCACUUUAAGUUGGGAGGAAGGGCAGUAAGUUAAUACCUUGCUGUUUUGACGUUACCAACAGAAUAAGCACCGGCUAACUUCGUG